rnacentral:rRNA from 1 species
GUCGGACGGGAUCCAGGGGUAGCUUGCUACCCUCUGGUGAGAGUGGCGCACGGGUGCGUAACGCGUGAGCAACCUACCCAUAUCAGGGGGAUAGCCCGAAGAAAUUCGGAUUAACACCGCAUGACACCCCAUCCCGGCAUCGGGGCGGGGUCAAAUAUUCAUAGGAUAUGGAUGGGCUCGCGUGACAUUAGCUAGUUGGUGGGGUAACGGCCCACCAAGGCGACGAUGUCUAGGGGCUCUGAGAGGAGAAUCCCCCACACUGGUACUGAGACACGGACCAGACUCCUACGGGAGGCAGCAGUAAGGAAUAUUGGUCAAUGGGGGCAACCCUGAACCAGCCAUGCCGCGUGCAGGACGACUGCCCUAUGGGUUGUAAACUGCUUUUGCCAGGGAAUAAACCCGGUCACGUGUGGCCGGCUGAACGUACCUGGAGAAUAAGGAUCGGCUAACUCCGUGCCAGCAGCCGCGGUAAUACGGAGGAUCCGAGCGUUAUCCGGAUUUAUUGGGUUAAAGGGUGCGUAGGCGGCACUUUAAGUCAGGGGUGAAAUACGGCAGCUCAACUGUCGCAGUGCCCUUGAUACUGAAGUGCUUGAAUGCGGUUGAAGACGGCGGAAUGAGACAAGUAGCGGUGAAAUGCAUAGAUAUGUCUCAGAACACCGAUUGCGAAGGCAGCUGUCUAAGCCGUUAUUGACGCUGAUGCACGAAAGCGUGGGGAUCGAACAGGAUUAGAUACCCUGGUAGUCCACGCCCUAAACGAUGAUGACUCGAUGUUUGCGAUAUACCGUAAGCGUCCAAGCGAAAGCGUUAAGUCAUCCACCUGGGGAGUACGCCCGCAAGGGUGAAACUCAAAGGAAUUGACGGGGGCCCGCACAAGCGGAGGAGCAUGUGU